rnacentral:tRNA from 1 species
GGGGGUGUAGCUCAGUUGGGAGAGCGCCUGUUUUGCACGCAGGAGGUCAUCGGUUCGAAUCCGUUCACCUCCA